rnacentral:rRNA from 1 species
AUUGAACGCUGGCGGCAUGCUUUACACAUGCAAGUCGGACGGCAGCACAGAGAAGCUUGCUUCUUGGGUGGCGAGUGGCGAACGGGUGAGUAAUAUAUCGGAACGUACCGAGUAAUGGGGGAUAACUAAUCGAAAGAUUAGCUAAUACCGCAUAUUCUCUGAGGAGGAAAGCAGGGGACCUUCGGGCCUUGCGUUAUUCGAGCGGCCGAUAUCUGAUUAGCUAGUUGGUGGGGUAAAGGCCUACCAAGGCGACGAUCAGUAGCGGGUCUGAGAGGAUGAUCCGCCACACUGGGACUGAGACACGGCCCAGACUCCUACGGGAGGCAGCAGUGGGGAAUUUUGGACAAUGGGCGCAAGCCUGAUCCAGCCAUGCCGCGUGUCUGAAGAAGGCCUUCGGGUUGUAAAGGACUUUUGUCAGGGAAGAAAAGGCUGUUGCUAAUACCGACAGCUGAUGACGGUACCUGAAGAAUAAGCACCGGCUAACUACGUGCCAGCAGCCGCGGUAAUACGUAGGGUGCGAGCGUUAAUCGGAAUUACUGGGCGUAAAGCGAGCGCAGACGGUUACUUAAGCAGGAUGUGAAAUCCCCGGGCUCAACCUGGGAACUGCGUUCUGAACUGGGUGACUAGAGUGUGUCAGAGGGAGGUAGAAUUCCACGUGUAGCAGUGAAAUGCGUAGAGAUGUGGAGGAAUACCGAUGGCGAACGCAGCCUCCUGGGAUAACACUGACGUUCAUGCUCGAAAGCGUGGGUAGCAAACAGG